rnacentral:misc_RNA from 1 species
GGUUGAGGCUUUUCCACUAGUUCUU